rnacentral:sRNA from 1 species
CUUUAGCCCCGAUAGAAGUGAAAAUCCUUUUUGUUUUUGCUGCCAAAAACAAAAAGAUUGUAACGGAUAGCGGGAACUAUA